CAGGACAUAUUUUAUAUCGGUCUAAUGUCGGAAGACCAAUUCAACAUCUGAAUGGAUUCCCCAGAACCAACAGACUACAGUAGCUUAGUUAACUUAGUCCUGUCUAGGGUUUGAAUUUAAUCUUUGUAUCAUCAAGUUAAAAUCUCAUUUGAAACGUCAAGAUUUACCUCAGAUUAUUGACUGUUCAUAGGUGACCUACCUACGAGCGUCAAUACAAUACUAAAUACACAAGAUUGUAAAAUCAUGCAUCAUACAACCUUUGAAUCGCAUUGUAAAGUUUGGGAGGAGUACGGGAUUCCCGAUCAGAGAAGGACGAUAAUUAAGUACCAAACUGCACAAUGUAAGCCUUACAAACAAAAAUUUCGCAAGAAGCCAAUCUGAGGCAUAUUUAAGAUAAAGUCCAUUCAUACAAUAUCGCAGUAGCAAACGAUUCACAUCUGAGAGACCACAAGGAUCUUACAUAAGAAUUGCAUAAUACAAUCAAUAAGAACAAUAAGUUUAUUUAAAUAGCAACCAACAAACUGCGACUUGCAAAUGUAAGGCGGAUGUAAUUAAAAUAAAACCAAGUUUAUGUGAACAAGUUAUAAGGUGAUGCCGAGGCUUUAUCAAACAGUGUGUCAGUGAGAGUCGAACAAGUUGAAACAAGUGCAUCAAGUCAAUUAUCAUGGAGAGCAUCAGUCGCAACGUGUCCAGGAUCGUCUUCGUUCUGGUGGUGGUGCUAUGCUGGUUCAGCGCCACGGCCUUCAGGAACAGCAGCCGCAUCAGCUCCAAGUUCCGGCCCAAGGUCAACAGCACUGUGAACCUUGACUGAAUGGACUUCUACGUCUGAAGCUGAACUGUCCUCAACAAUUUUGAUAACUCGUGUUAAAUAAAGAGUUUUUAACUGUU